rnacentral:rRNA from 1 species
GGGGAAUUUUCCGCAAUGGGCGAAAGCCUGACGGAGCAAUACCGCGUGAGGGAUGACGGCCUAUGGGUUGUAAACCUCUUUUUUCAGGGGAGGAAUAAAUGACGUGUACCUGAAGAAUAAGCAUCGGCUAACUCCGUGCCAGCAGCCGCGGUAAGACGGAGGAUGCAAGUGUUAUCCGGAAUCACUGGGCGUAAAGCGUCUGUAGGUGGUUUAAUAAGUCAACUGUUAAAUCUUGAGGCUUAACUUCAAAAUCGCAGUCGAAACUAUUAGACUAGAGUAUAGUAGGGGUAAAGGGAAUUUCCAGUGGAGCGGUGAAAUGCGUAGAGAUUGGAAAGAACACCGAUGGCGAAGGCACUUUACUGGGCUAUUACUAACACUCAGAGACGAAAGCUAGGGUAGCAAAUGGGAUUAGAUACCCCAGUAGUC